rnacentral:rRNA from 1 species
UGGAGAGUUUGAUCCUGGCUCAGAAUGAACGCUGGCGGCGUGGAUUAGGCAUGCAAGUCGCGCGCGAAAGUCGGCUUCGGCCGGCGAGUAGAGCGGCGAACUGGUGAGUACAAGAUGGAUAACGUGCCCUCGAGUGGGGAAUAACCUCUGGAAACAGGGGCUAAUGCCGCAUGAGCCCGCCGGGACCUCGGUCCGGGCGGGGAAAGCAGCAGUGCGCUCGGGGAUCGGUCCAUCCCCCAUUAGCUAGUUGGUGAGGUAACGGCUCACCAAGGCGACGAUGGGUAGCUGGUCUGAGAGGAUGGUCAGCCACACUGGGACUGAGAUACGGCCCAGACUCCUACGGGGGGCAGCAGUCUAGAGGCUUCGGCAAUGGACGAAAGUCUGACCGAGCGACGCCGCGUGGAGGAUGAAGCCCUUCGGGGUGUAAACUCCUUUCGGGUGGGGAAAAGGCCCUGGUGGCGAACCAGGGAUUGAUCCUCCCGCCUAAAGAAGCCCCGGCUAACUCCGUGCCAGCAGCCGCGGUAAUACGGAGGGGGCGAGCGUUAUUCGGAUUUAUUGGGCGUAAAGGGCGCGCAGGCGGCUCAGCAAGUCUGAUGUGAAAUCUCCACAGCUCACCUGGGAGAGGCCAUUGGAAACUGCUGAGCUUGAGGUCCGGAGAGGCCGGCGGAAUUCCCGGUGUAGCGGUGGAAUGCGUAGAUAUCGGGAAGAACACCAGUGGCGAAGGCGGCCGGCUGGACGGCACCUGACGCUGAGGCGCGAAAGUGCGGGGAGCAAACGGGAUUAGAUACCCCGGUAGUCCGCACUGUAAACGUUGGACACUAGGUGUUGGGGGUAUCGACCCCUCCAGUGCCGCAGCUAACGCAUUAAGUGUCCCGCCUGGGGAGUACGGUCGCAAGGCUGAAACUCAAAGGAAUUGACGGGGGCCCGCACAAGCGGUGGAGCAUGUGGUUCAAUUCGACGCAACGCGAAGAACCUUACCUGGGUUCGAACGGUGGGGGAAAGUCUCUGGAAACAGGGACCCUCUUCGGACUCCCUCCGAGGUGCUGCAUGGCUGUCGUCAGCUCGUGUCGUGAGAUGUUGGGUUAAGUCCCGCAACGAGCGCAACCCUUGCCCUCAGUUACCAGCGGGUCACGCCGGGGACUCUGAGGGGACUGCUGCGGUAACGCAGAGGAAGGUGGGGAUGACGUCAAGUCCUCAUGGCCCUUACGCCCAGGGCUACACACGUGCUACAAUGGGACGGACAGAGAGUUGCAAGGCCGCGAGGCGGAGCUAAUCUCCAAACCGUCCCCCAGUUCGGAUCGGAGUCUGCAAUUCGACUCCGUGAAGCCGGAAUCGCUAGUAAUCGCGGAUCAGAACGCCGCGGUGAAUACGUUCCCGGGCCUUGUACACACCGCCCGUCACACCACGAAAGCUGGCUGUACCAGAAGUCGCUGUCGCAACCCGCAAGGGAGCAAGGUGCCGAAGGUGUGGUCGGUGAUUGGGGUGAAGUCGUAACAAGGUAGCCGUAGCGGAAGCUGCGGCUGGAUCACCUCCUUUCUAAGGAGA